rnacentral:rRNA from 1 species
AUUGAACGCUGGCGGCAGGCUUAACACAUGCAAGUCGAGCGGAGAUGAGGUGCUUGCACCUUAUCUUAGCGGCGGACGGGUGAGUAAUGCUUAGGAAUCUGCCUAUUAGUGGGGGACAACAUUCCGAAAGGAAUGCUAAUACCGCAUACGUCCUACGGGAGAAAGCAGGGGAUCUUCGGACCUUGCGCUAAUAGAUGAGCCUAAGUCGGAUUAGCUAGUUGGUGGGGUAAAGGCCUACCAAGGCGACGAUCGGUAGCGGGUCUGAGAGGAUGAUCCGCCACACUGGGACGGAGACACGGCCCAGAAUCCUACGGGAGGCAGCAGUGGGGAAUAUUGGUCAAUGGGGGGAACCCUGAUCCAGCCAUGCCGCGUGUGUGAAGAAGGCCUUAUGGUUGUAAAGCACUUUAAGCGAGGAGGAGGCUACUGAGACUAAUACUCUUGGAUAGUGGACGUUACUCGCAGAAUAAGCACCGGCUAACUCUGUGCCAGCCGCCGCCGUAAGAC